rnacentral:lncRNA from 1 species
AAACAUCAAUUCUAAACCCUAAAUCAUCAACUUUAAACCCUAAACCAUCAAACAUCAACUCUAAUUCCUAAACCUUAAAACAUCAAGUCUAAACCCUAAACCCUAAAACUAAACUUGAAACAUCAAUUUUAUCCCCUAAACCUUAAAUCUAAACUUAAAACAUCAACUCUAAACUCUAAACCUUCAACUCUAAACCUUAAAACAUCAACGCUAAACCCUAAACCCUGAAACAUCAACUCUAAACCCUAAACCCUAAACUUUCAAAUCUAAAUCCUAAAACAUCAACUCUAAACCCUAAACCCUAAACUUUCAAAUCUUAACCCUAAAACAUCAACUCUAAACCCUAAACGUAUACCUUAAACCCUAUAUUUUUCUGAAAUUCGAACACUAAACCCUAACACUGUAAACCUUCAAAUCUAUACCCUAAAACAUCAACUCUAAACCCUAAACGUAA